GCAUCUGACACUAUUUAGGUUGCCCCUUUCCAGCUCAGAGGGAAAAGCAGAUUCCUCACCAGGCUCUAUGUGCAACUGUGGCAGAUAUUGCUCUAAUUUGUGCAUCCCUCCAGAGCCGCCAAGCCUAAUCCUAAUAUUCGUGGGGUCUGAAGCAAGAUAUGAAGACUCAUGUGUCGUAUGUCUACGUAUAUAAAGUUCCCUGACCAGGGAUGGAACCUACAACCCCUGCAGUGGCAGCAUGGAGUCUUAACCACUGGGCAACCAGGGAAGUCCCAAAAUAGACCCUUGAAUUAAACUGGCACGCUGUAGACAUUAAAACAAACCUCUUACUAGGCAGGAACGAGAGGGGAGAAGGCUGGAGCUGUCUGUGUCUGCCUCUUUGCAUCGAGAUAAGCAAGUGCUUCUCACUCAGAUUCAACUAGAUGAGAAAAACUUUUCAAGCCCCUCAGACCUUUAUGCAAAGUUAUUCUGAUGUACACAGAGACGUUGAUGUUUACUCCAUUCCUAUUCUGAACAGUUGGCUCGAGUCAUCACGCCAGUUAUUUACGCCAGAUUUAGGCAGUGUUUGUCUGACGGAAAGGAUUCUGGUAAUUCAACUUCACGUCUAUGCGCUCCCCGCACUAUGACACAGCAAAAGAGCCCACAGCAGCAGCUGUUGGAACAACUGCUCUCUUUUCCUCCCAAGUCUGACAUUUCCAAGGUAGGAUUUGAUUACAACUGCCAAUACAGAAUUAUGGGCAAAGAAAUGAGGUGCAGAGACCAGAAAAUAUUAAGAGUGAAAAUAACAAGGCAGUGAGGCAGUCUGUGUUACAUUCCCUUAUCAGGCUGUGAGAACUAGGCAAAGCAUCCUGCUGAGAAAUGCCUCCUUGCUUCCAGGAUAGAAAAGAGUCUCUCAGACCCGGUCCAGUCAGGAUACCUCACAGCACAGGUGCCAACCUCUGUGGUUCCUCUGAAGCGGCCAACAUCUCUGGCAGAUUCGAAUUCAACUACAAGAACUUUCCUGAGAAAAUAAAGGAGACAUUCUAAGCUUA